rnacentral:rRNA from 1 species
UACGUAGGGGGCAAGCGUUGUCCGGAUUUAUUGGGCGUAAAGAGCGUGUAGGCGGCUUGGUAGGUCCGCUGUGAAAACUCGAGCUCAACCUCGAGACGCCGGUGGAAACCAUCAGACUAGAGUCCGGAAGAGAGAGUGGAAUUCCUGGUGUAGCGGUGAAAUGCGCAGAUAUCAGGAAGAACACCCGUGGCUAAGGCGGCUCUCUAGUACGGUACUGACGCUGAGACGCGAAAGCGUGGGGAGCGAACAGG